rnacentral:rRNA from 1 species
GAUGAACGCUGGCGGCGUGCCUAAUACAUGCAAGUCGAGCGAACUGACGAGAAGCUUGCUUCUCUGAUUUUAUCGGCGGACGGGUGAGUAACACAUGGUUAACCUACCUAUAAGACUGUGAUAACUUCGGGAAACCGGAGCUAAUACCGGAUAAUAUUUUGCACCGCAUGGUUCAAAAGUGUAAGACGGUCUUUCUGUCACUUAUAGAUGAAUCCGCGCUGCAUUAGCUAGUUGGUAAGGUAACGGCUUACCAAGGCAACGAUGCAUAGCCGACCUGAGAGGGAGAACGACCAGACGGGAAGUGAGAAACGGUCGAGACUCCGACAGGGGGCAGCAGUAGGGAAUCUUACGGGAUGCACGAGAGCGUGACGGAGCAAAACCGCGGGAAGGAUGAAGGUCUUAGGAUGGGAGAACGAUGUAAGUAGGGAAGAACAAAUGUGUAAGUAACUGUGAACAUCUUGACGGUACCUAAUGAGAAAGCCACGGCUAACUACGUG